CACAACCAAGCUGGCCCCAUCAGCAGCACAACAACAAUCGAUAAGGCCAGCUUUUAACUGUAAAGCUUGCGGGGGAAAAGCUGUUAUCGUUGUAUGUCAACAUUUUCACGGUUGCCACGCGAAAAGCUAACAAUUCCUGCACAGUGUGCUUUUGUGUCUGAUUCCUUUAACGCGUUCACGUUGCUAAUGGUCCAGUUGGCCUGCGUGGAGAAACCACAAAGAAAAAGAAAUAAUAAUAUUACAAAUAACUAACGCCAAUUGCAGCCGCCUGGAAAUAAGCGAAAUUCAAUAAUUGAAAAAGAAAAGGCUGAUAAGACAUAAGCCACAAAAAUCUAUAACAAUAGAACCAAAAGUUACACCAGACUUAAACAAAUGCCAAAUUUUAAAUGUUUUAUUAGACAAUUAACAAGGAGCACAUCACAAACCGUCAUUUAAACGUCCAAAGAGCAACAAUUGCACCACCGUCUAACAUAAUAAUAAAAACACAAAAAACAAACCCCCUCAAUUUAUCUGUGGCAAACAACAACCAUAAAAAAAAAGCUCUUAGCAGGCCAUGUCAAGCGGUGAGAGAGAGAGAGAGAGAAAUAGUGUGAAUGAGUGAGUGAGAAAGUGAGCAAGCACAAUUUGCAUGGGAAUGUGUGUGAAGGGAAGACUGGGACACAGCUCACCUGUUGGACUGGCUGACGUUGACCGCAUUUAAUGGCACCGCGUUUAUAGAGCAGUUCUCGAAAGUGCUGUGAAUGAAAGCAGAAAUCAAUUUAGUCGUGGGAAGGAAACUUCAAAUAUGAAUACAGGAGAACAUAAGGAGCAUGCAACGUCAGCGCAGCAUAAAGAAAAAUCACCAACAGCCCAAGAACAGCAAAAGCAACAGGAACAACAACAGCAACA
rnacentral:sRNA from 1 species